GGCGCCAGGGCUUAGUUGGUAAAGUGCCUGUCUAGUAAACAGGAGAUCCUGGGUUCAAAUCCCAGUAGUGCCU
rnacentral:tRNA from 1 species